AAAAGAAGGAAAAACACGGAAAAACAGUUGAAAAGACACCCUUGAAAUUAAAACAUGACAAAGUUUCUUCAGAAAAAGAAGCCAAUUUUUAUUACAAUAUGACUAAAGAAAAAAUUUCAAAAGCUGCAAAACGAGGAACUGCUGUUCGCUACUAUCAAUGUGUCUUUGUAAAUGGACUUAAUGGUGACACACCUCGAUAUUCUGCAACUCCAGAAAAACCUUCUGAUCCCAAAUUGAAGGCACGGAAACAAUAAUGUCCAGCAACCUGUGACAUUGCAACAGUUUUGCACUUUGCAACCCACUUCAGGGGGUCAUCUGGAAGUCCACGUGGCACCUGUGACAAUGGAAGUAUGAUCUGACUGAUCACAUGCACCUGUAAAAGUUGUUUCUUUGUUGUUAGAGCACCAGAGACAAUUUGAUGGCAUUAUGUGAUGAAGGGUAUCCAUACUACUUCCCUGAAUGAAAGCAUGGUGCUGAAAAAGUACUUGACAGUAAGUUCUGUGUGCAGGUAUAGGCGUAGGUAUAUAUGUAUGUACGCUCACAUGUUCUGUCAAGGUCUGUUUCUAGUUUCUGUUUUAUACCUAGCUAGUAUGGAAAACAUUUUCCAUGGUAUCAGUUUUGGAAAAUGUUGAAACGGAAUUAGUCAUUUGCAGUAUAGUUUGUGGUCCACAAUAGUGCUAAAUGAAAUCACGAGUCAGUCCAUGCUAAACCUUUAAGUAAUCAAACUCUAAUAAUUAAACAUAUGUUCUACAUAUGAUUUGUUCUUGUAAAAGCAAGCAAUAAAAUGUUUGCUAUUUGCAUAUUAGAGAGAUAUUUGAAUUGAGAAUAUCAACUAUCAAUUCCUCUUUACUUCCUAUUUGAAAUAAUGGACUGGUAUCUCAACAUCAAAAGGAAAAAUAUAAUGCUCCCAAUGAAAAUGUCUAAAGGUGUUAUUCUUGCUGCCUAUUAAAAUAGGUUUUGCUUUGUAAAUAAUACUGUAUCUUUGUAAGUAGUUGUUCCUAAUUUCUAUUAAAUGUAUUUUGUGUAUAUAAUUUUAUACUUGUUUGCAAUGUCAAACUGAACAAAUUAUAUAUUGUUUUUACACAAAUUUUGUAAAGACAACUCUUUACACAAAAAUUACAUCUGAAGUCUUUAACCUGAAUCAAUUUCAUAAGUUUCUAAAGAGAAACUAUUGUUGAAAUGCUGAUAUUUAUUUUGAAGAGAUGGUACAGGAUUUAGGUAACUGUGCCUAAAGAGGUUGAAGCAAUUCAUGACAAUGUUUGAUUUUCCCUCUCUGUCUUUCUCUUUUCAUGUUUUAUCUUUUCAUAUCUUGGUCAUAUUAAAAUAGGACUGGAAUUUAAUGCCACCUAGACAAUUUCCAUUACUGUAUUUUCAACUGAUCUAAUAUAGUUCUCCCAUUGUGAAAGUAAUUUAUUGGGAGAAAAGCAAAUACAGAUAAAUGGGAUACUUGAUUACUACCAGCUGUGGAAAUGGUAAGGUUCAUUCUGUAUUAGACUGAAGGCUAAAUAACAGACAAGUGAUUUAGGAUCAUUUUGAUUAAAAUAAAAGAUUGUACUACUCAAAGAAUGUACUUUGGAAGUACAGGCUUAUCCUGCUGCUUCCUCUGAUAUAACUUGUCAAUGGAUAAGCAAAAUGAAGAGGUGCGUCAACAGAGCAGAGAAUUAAAGACUAGUCUAUAGUCUUUAUGAAAUAUGUUUUUGAUAUGUCACAAGGUAUAUGCACUGAUUCAAAGAUGAUUGACCUUGUUAAUAUUGUAUCAUGAUUGAUGAAAGCACCCAAACUUUUUAUAAAUGAUGAUACCUCAUAAGUGACAUGAAAACGUUUAACUGUGCUUGAUUGUAUGGUAGAGUUGUAGAGUUGGCAUAGCAUUAAUGUCACCAACUCAACCAUAUCAAGAAUUAUGAUCCACAAUGAGUGCAGAAGUGUAGAAGUUUCAGAAUGUAACUUUGAGAUCUGCCUCUUUUAGAUGGUUCAUAUCUACCUCUGAUCUUCCCAAAACAGACACCUUAAGGUUCUGUUCACUUUUCAUUUAUUUUCCUAUUUGUAGCGUAGUUUUAGUGGCUUUCCAAAGACCUGCUGAUUUAAAUAGGUGAUUUUAGUCAAAUCAUGCACGGUUUCUUUAGAGUUUUAUUGAAAUAUUGCUAAUUGUAGGUAAACCUUAUUUAGAUUAUUAAAAGCUGUUUAACUGAGAUUUAUUGAAGCAUAUCCCAAUUCCCUAUAACUGGUUCAAGUGCAAUGGCAUAUUUGAGAAGACAUUUCCCUUUGGAUAUUCAGCUGACUCAGAAAAAUUCAAAAUAUAAAAUCUCACAUAAUAGUCAAUGAUUCCAGAAACAUUAAUCAUUUGCUUAAAACACAAGUUUCAUAUUGCAUCCAUCCAUACACCAGAUUAAUCAAAAAUUCUGCCAUUAUUUGAAUUACAUGUUUUUAUCCAUGUUUUAACUGUUGAUUUGCAAAACAAAAUGGCCAAAGGGUAUCAUGGUAGGUACAGCUCAGUUUGAUUAUUUGACAGGGCAAUGAUUCAUGAUAUUGUUAUUUAACUUGGUAUUUUAAUUAAUACCAAGAAUCAAACAGUAAUUACUGUGGUCUUUCUAUGUUGCAUAGGUUCAUUGUAUACUUUGCCACAAAUUCACUUAAAAUCCUAAGCUAAAAUUCUUUUCAUGUUCUAGUCCCUGAUAAUGAAAAGAUUUCUCAUGACUGAGAAAGUUUGUUUACUUGGCAUCCAAAUAAAAAUUUGAUGUUAAUAGAUGAAGUCUUCAUCACAAAAGCAGAGCCACCAUUGUGCUGUUGUGCAUGUAUUUCUUCUAUCAGCAGAUAGGGAUGAGAAAUACAACAUUUCAUGAUAUAGCAGACAAAAUAACCCUAUAGCAACACAGUAUAAAGAACAGAUAGUAGGGACACUUCCUAUAUCUUAUUGAUAAGGACAAUGGAAAAGAGAGAAGGACUUAUAUUUUUUGUCUCUGUUUUUGUUGAUUCUGUUUUUCACUCCCUUAAUUUAUUUGCCUUUCUUAUUGGGAAUGGAAAUUAUACCAGCUCCUGGGCUAGCAUAUUUCUUUUCCAUUUUGUGGAUAUAUUCAGAGAACUGGGAGUUUGAACUGAUAGUACUAGAUGUGGCCAUGACAUCUCUUUUUUUUAUAUCAUGAAUAGAGUAAGGGGGGGAAGCACACUGGCUAAAUGAUUCUUGUAUUCCUUAGUUAAUUGUCCUUAGAUAACAAGGACAAUAUCUCUAAGAGCAGUUUGUCAAAAUAAUAUACCGAGUUAUAAGCACUGAAAAUAAGGCUAUCUCAAAGCAAAGAAAGAAGUAAUGCUUUGUAUAAAAUUGUUUUUUUAAAAGACAUCCAGAUAGAUUCAUGUGUAUGCAAAGUCAGUAGAGGUGAAUUAUGAAAGUAAGAUCAAAAAGGCCUGAUUAGAAAUAUCACAGGCAGGGUCUUGUUUUAAACAAGAAGGGAAUGAAAUAUUUUAAUGGUGCAAAAGGAAAAGGUAAACACAAGAAUGGCAAAAUAAAGAGAUAUGCCACCAUUGUGAAUGAAUUAGCAGAAGGAAUGCUGAGGAAAUUUUUAAAAAGGUGUUUCAGAGCAAUGAGUGCAACACAGAUGGGAAGAAGAAACAUAGUAAACAAAGAAAAAUGUUUAACCUUCCAUUUUGAGAGGUAAAGCCAAGAAAACAGAAAAGCUAACACAAAUUGUUUUCUACAAACUGGAGAAAGUACUUUAGAGACGUCUUAGCUGUAAAAUAGUCAGUGGUGUUUUACAAUGACCAAAAAUAGAUUUAUAUUUAAGAACACAGUACAGCAUUGGUUGUAUUUAGAGAAUAAGAUGAUGGGUUUCUUCCAAUGAGGAAAAGUUACCUGCACAUAAAUAGAGCACCGGUCAGACUUAACACUUUUCCCAGUUUUCUUACAAUUGUGAGAUACAUACUGUAUUUGGCCAAUAAGACUGAGAGACCUGCACAUUUUCUACACAUUUCUGAUCAAUGUUCUCCCCUAUUCUCAGUCCGCAGUCAUGAGUUUCAAACUCUCAUUCCUUAACCACACCAAGGAAGGUUAAGGGUAUGACUCAGUUGUCCAUAGAAGAACCCAUCUCUCUCAUUCCCUCUAAUCUUUGGUAGUGUCUCGAUAUAGGCCCAUCUAUAAAUGUCAAGAAAGCAGAGAAUAAUCUUUGUUAUAAUCUAUAGCAGAGUAAACAAUAUUUUGCUCACGGACUCUUCCUUUGCACCUUCUCGAUUCUAGGCUGCAGAUGGCUUUUUUUUUUAAAUAGGACCUUUAAUUUAAAAAAGGAUAAUGAAGAAACUAUUGACAUGUUACAAGCACCAAGUAUCAAUAUAUGGAUCCAAUAGAUAGUCUUAGAAAAUAAAAAAUGCUAGGUAGCUUCAGCCUAACACCCUAUUUGGAAAUACACUCACCUUUCCAGAAAAAAAUAAAGAGAAUGAAGGGGGAGGGGGAGAGGGGAGGGGGAGAGGCAAACUAGAGAUGAUCACAAAUGAGAUGCAUUUUAUGACUAGCUGUACUGACUAUGACAAGCAUUUGUUUAAUAGAGAAGUCUGUAUAGCAGCCAUUUGUAACAAUGUUCAGCAUGCCAAAAUGAUAGCCUACUUCUGUGCCACUCCAUGAGUGUAGGUAGUCUGGAUUUAUAGCUUUAUACAAAAAUAUGCAUCACACCAUACUGACAACUUUAUAAAAUGAAAAGGAGAAGAGCAAAAAGUUGUGUAGACUGUGGAUGUCAUAACUGGUUGUGAAUGUCUCCACAAUUGAUAGAACUGCACAAAAGGGGUUUUAUGAUUUCCUGAAGGAAGAGCACUGAUAUGAAAAAGAUAUUGUUUAGAAUGUAAUUUAGGCUUCAGUCCUAUAGACUUUUAACCUAUAGGGUUAUUGAAAUUAAGAAAUAGUUGGAACUUUAUCCAGUGAUGUCUUGCCCUAACUUAUCAGGAAAUGGUUAUACAAUAGGAAGUUAUUUAGAUUAUCAAGACAUAUUCUUUUAUUUCACAAUUAUGUUUAAUGACUGCUAUAUGUUAAAAUGUUGGCACUUAUUCAAGCAACAAAAAAGAAUGCCAAGGACAAGAAUAUUUUACUUUUUAUUUAUAUCUUUAUGUCUUCAUUUGCAUUUUGACUUUGUACAUACUUUAUCAGCACUACAAAUGUUUUCCUUUCAAAAAUUAUUUCAUUUUCCAUCUCCAAGUGACAUCCUAUAUAGAAAAUGUUUUAUUAUGAAGACACUGCAUUUACUACAGAUUGUAAUUAUUUAUGUGAUACUUCUAAACAUGGAAAGAAUAAUUGUUGAAUAGCUGGAUUGAUAUGCAAAUUUGAAGCCCUAUAGCAAAAUAUUUCCAAAGAGAAUUUGAAAGAAAUAUGUUAUUUGUUUUCUGUCAAAUUACUUACUGUUGCAAACCUCACUGAUAGUCUGUAAGUGAGAAAAUAUCAAGUCUUUUCAAUAAAAGGGAAAUGUUUUCAACCU